rnacentral:rRNA from 1 species
GACGAACGCUGGCGGCGUGCUUAACACAUGCAAGUCGAACGGAAAGGCCCUGCUUGCAGGGUACUCGAGUGGCGAACGGGUGAGUAACACGUGGGCGAUCUGCCCUGCACUUCGGGAUAAGCCUGGGAAACUGGGUCUAAUACCGGAUAGGAGCCAUUUUUAGUGUGAUGGUUGGAAAGUUUUUUCGGUGUAGGAUGAGCUCGCGGCCUAUCAGCUUGUUGGUGGGGUAAUGGCCUACCAAGGCGGCGACGGGUAGCCGGCCUGAGAGGGUGGACGGCCACAUUGGGACUGAGAUACGGCCCAGACUCCUACGGGAGGCAGCAGUGGGGAAUAUUGCACAAUGGGCGCAAGCCUGAUGCAGCGACGCCGCGUGGGGGAGGACGGCCUUCGGGUUGUAAACUCCUUUCGCUAGGGACGAAGCUUUUUGUGACGGUACCUAGAGAAGAAGCACCGGCUAACUACGUG